rnacentral:rRNA from 1 species
AGAGUUUGAUCCUGGCUCAGAGUGAACGCUGGCGGCGUGCCUAAUACAUGCAAGUCGAACGAUGAAGCUUCUAGCUUGCUAGAAUGCUGAUUAGUGGCGCACGGGUGAGUAACGCAUAGGUCAUGUGCCUCUUAGUUUGGGAUAGCCAUUGGAAACGAUGAUUAAUACCAGAUACUCCCUACGGGGGAAAGAUUUAUCGCUAAGAGAUCAGCCUAUGUCCUAUCAGCUUGUUGGUAAGGUAAUGGCUUACCAAGGCUAUGACGGGUAUCCGGCCUGAGAGGGUGAACGGACACACUGGAACUGAGACACGGUCCAGACUCCUACGGGAGGCAGCAGUAGGGAAUAUUGCUCAAUGGGGGAAACCCUGAAGCAGCAACGCCGCGUGGAGGAUGAAGGUUUUAGGAUUGUAAACUCCUUUUGUUAGAGAAGAUAAUGACGGUAUCUAACGAAUAAGCACCGGCUAACUCCGUGCCAGCAGCCGCGGUAAUACGGAGGGUGCAAGCGUUACUCGGAAUCACUGGGCGUAAAGAGCGCGUAGGCGGGAUAGUCAGUCAGGUGUGAAAUCCUAUGGCUUAACCAUAGAACUGCAUUUGAAACUACUAUUCUAGAGUGUGGGAGAGGUAGGUGGAAUUCUUGGUGUAGGGGUAAAAUCCGUAGAGAUCAAGAGGAAUACUCAUUGCGAAGGCGACCUGCUGGAACAUUACUGACGCUGAUUGUGCGAAAGCGUGGGGAGCAAACAGGAUUAGAUACCCUGGUAGUCCACGCCCUAAACGAUGGAUGCUAGUUGUUGGAGGGCUUAGUCUCUCCAGUAAUGCAGCUAACGCAUUAAGCAUCCCGCCUGGGGAGUACGGUCGCAAGAUUAAAACUCAAAGGAAUAGACGGGGACCCGCACAAGCGGUGGAGCAUGUGGUUUAAUUCGAAGAUACACGAAGAACCUUACCUAGGCUUGACAUUGAGAGAAUCCGCUAGAAAUAGUGGAGUGUCUGGCUUGCCAGACCUCGAAAACAGGUGCUGCACGGCUGUCGUCAGCUCGUGUCGUGAGAUGUUGGGUUAAGUCCCGCAACGAGCGCAACCCCCUUUCUUAGUUGCUAACAGGUCAUGCUGAGAACUCUAAGGAUACUGCCUCCGUAAGGAGGAGGAAGGUGGGGACGACGUCAAGUCAUCAUGGCCCUUACGCCUAGGGCUACACACGUGCUACAAUGGGGUGCACAAAGAGAAGCAAUACUGCGAAGUGGAGCCAAUCUUCAAAACACCUCUCAGUUCGGAUUGUAGGCUGCAACUCGCCUGCAUGAAGCUGGAAUCGCUAGUAAUCGCAAAUCAGCCAUGUUGCGGUGAAUACGUUCCCGGGUCUUGUACUCACCGCCCGUCACACCAUGGGAGUUGUGUUUGCCUUAAGUCAGGAUGCUAAAUUGGCUACUGCCCACGGCACACACAGCGACUGGGGUGAAGUCGUAACAAGGUAACCGUAGGUGAACCUGCGGUUG